AAAAGACACCGUUGGGGUGCCGGGUGUUGCGUUCCCGCAGGGGGAACGUUGUGGGUCAGCGGCACAGCACGCAGCUGUGGGUAACAGGGAAGGAAUUAAUAGCCUGGGCUUUAACAUCUCGGCGUGUUUUCAAUUGGCCUUUAUUAAACAAUGGGACAACUACUUCUUUUCAAAGUGUACAUCGGCGCGUAAAUUAUUGUCUAAGUACCUGCUGGAGGAUUAGUAGGGUCCAAGAUCAAUGCUUUCGUAAUUUUAUGGGUAGAGCAGCAUCCCUGAGGUGCCGAACACGAAUUGUAAACUGUGAAGUAACUACUAUGGAAAAGAUUAAGUAAAGCAUUGGAGGCGGAUGAUUUUGACAAUAAAGAGGGUGUAUGUGACAGUGAAUGCCUCAGGUGGUGGAUUGAGGAAAAAAAAAAAUUGUCAGCAGACCUACACACAACCUGUCAACAGCAGAAAGAGUGGAUUUGAGUCUCCUGCCAGAAAUCUGAAAAGGAUGCAUUUGUGGAGCAUCAGUACAAGUAUAGACACCAGAACAAAGGUUUUUCACCGUUUGAAAUUACUCCAGAUUUUAAAAUUAAAUACAGCAAAAUAGAAAAAAAAUUCUAAAUACUUCAA
rnacentral:lncRNA from 1 species